rnacentral:rRNA from 1 species
UACGUAGGGCGCAAGCGUUAUCCGGAAUUAUUGGGCGUAAAGAGCUCGUAGGCGGUUUGUCGCGUCUGCUGUGAAAGACCGGGGCUCAACUCCGGUUCUGCAGUGGGUACGGGCAGACUAGAGUGCAGUAGGGGGGGACUGGAAUUCCUGGUGUAGCGGUGAAAUGCGCAGAUAUCAGGAGGAACACCGAUGGCGAAGGCAGGUCUCUGGGCUGUAACUGACGCUGAGGAGCGAAAGCAUGGGGAGCGAACAGG